AAGAAUUAGACCUUAAUUAUCGAUUUCAAUAUAUCGAAGAUAGAACCGCAUCCAAAAAACCUGACGUAAACCUCAAUAAUGAACUCCAUCCGACUUUGAUCUAACCUUUUUGUUCUGUUUUCGUCAACUCAGCUCCGUAUAUAACAUUACUGUUUCAUUCAUUUUUCAAUGAAUUUUCCCGAAGCUGGGGCUGGUUGGAUCAGUUUUGGUAGUUUUUUGAUGGAUGUCGAGGCGGGUUUGAGCUGGGAGCUUCGCUGAAGCUCCGACGAGCUCGGCAGUGAUGAAAUCAGAGAAAAAGGGCAACAAUAACAUUUUUUUGGCGAGUCCUUCGCCACCAUUUUCCACUGUUCACCCUCAUUUUGCCGUUCUUCACUCUCCUCUCUCCUUUAUCUUUAAUCCCACUCCAAUCUCCCUUUCUGAUUGUGUGUGUAUGCGUCGUUGUGCGUGGGUCGUUGUACAUUGGAACAGUUUCUCACUUCUCAUUGGUUCCGUGUGUGUGCGUAUAUCCUCCUAUGUGUGAGUGAUGUGUGUGUUUUCAAGUGAGAGUGAGUGAAUUUUGCUGUGAAUUCAGUCAAAUGGAGGAGUAUAUGUGAGUAUUGAGUGUAUUGUUGUGUAUUGGUGUAUAUGGAUCUUGUUGUGUGUGUGCAACUGUGUGUAUGCGCAUAUUGAUGGUGAAGGGAGGUUGAAGGUGAGUAGUGUAUAUAUCAAAUCCCUCUUUCACUGGUAUGUGGUGUGUAAUUCUGUUAUGGUAUAUUCAAACCCACGUUGAAGCGCCAGAAAUACAUAUGAGUUUCCUCUAACCACUGAGCUAUCCAUCAGUUUUGUUAUGGGUUCCCACCUUUAAAUAUUUAUACCUUUUAAUAAUAUUUCUUAUUUAAUUAUAUGUCUUACGGUAGCGGUUGUAGGUUUUCGGGAACCCACACCCGCUAUCGUAGAUCCGUCCUUGGAGGUGGAGGUAGGGUGAGUUUGUUAAAUUUGUUAGGAUAAGGUGGUUAUGGAUUUGAUUAUUUUUGUCCUUUUGGAAAAAAAUUAUGGAAUGGUGUGGGGUGUAUGAUAAGAUAAAUGAGGAAAAGUGAUAUCGGAAAGGGAUAAAAUUACGUAUCUACACUCACUACCUCUUUAUUCAUAUAUAAUUGAUGACUGCAGAUCCCUCGUGAAGCUACUGCAUGAUCCACCUAUCUACCACAUGUAGAGGGAAUUCAACAUGAUAUUUGAUAGUUUGGCAAAUUUUGGCACCUCAAUCAUGAGAAGUGAAAUUACCUUCUGGUUCAAAGCUCCUCCCUUUGUACUUGCACUCUGGAAAAAGAUGCCUUUGUACUUGCACUCUGGAAAAAGAUGGGAAAAGAUUUAGUGUUGACAAACCCCCCACCACCACCACCCACCCUCGAGCUUUCCAGGGUUUCUG
rnacentral:lncRNA from 1 species